rnacentral:rRNA from 1 species
CGUGUCUCUAGUGUCAGCCGCCGCGGUAAUACGUAGGGUGCAAGCGUUAAUCGGAAUUACUGGGCGUAAAGCGUGCGCAGGCGGUUUUGUAAGUCUGUCGUGAAAUCCCCGGGCCCAACCUGGGAAUGGCGAUGGAGACUGCAAGGCUAGAAUCUGGCAGAGGGGGGUAGAAUUCCACGUGUAGCAGUGAAAUGCGUAGAGAUGUGGAGGAACACCGAUGGCGAAGGCAGCCCCCUGGGUCAAGAUUGACGCUCAUGCACGAAAGCGUGGGGAGCAAACAGGAUUAGAUACCCUGGUAGUCCACGCCCUAAACGAUGUCUACUAGUUGUCGGGUCUUAAUUGACUUGGUAACGCAGCUAACGCGUGAAGUAGACCGCCUGGGGA